CCCUUAGAUGUUCUGGGCCGCACGCGCGCUACACUGAUGCAUUCAACGAGUCUAAAACCUGCUCUGAUAGGGGUGGGUAAUCUUUUGAAUGUGCAUCGUGAUUGGGAUAGAUGAUUGCAAUUUUUCAUCUUCAACGAGGAAUGCCUAGUAAACGCAAGUCAUCAGCUUGCAUUGAUUACGUCCCUGCCCUUUGUACACACCGCCCGUCGCUCCUACCGAUUGAAUGAUCCGAUGAAUAUCAUGGAUUGAGGAUUAUAGCAGGUUCGCCUGUCUUGAUCUUCGAGAAGUGAAGUAAAUCAUAUCAUUUAGAGGAAGGAGAAGUCGUAACA
rnacentral:rRNA from 1 species